UGGCUCUCGCAUCGAUGAAGAACGCAGCAAAGCGCGAAAUGUAAUGUGAAUUGCAGAAUUCAGUGAAUCAUCGAAUCUUUGAACGCACCUUGCGCUCUUGGGUCAUUCCUAGGAGCAUGCUUGUUUGAGUGUCGCGUACCUUCUCAACCCCGCCUUUCUUAAGGACAGGUUGCCCUUUUUUAAAUAAAGUGGGAUCAGGGUUGGAUCAUGACGUCCUGUCGCUUUCUUUUGAAGAAAGACAGACUGCGUUGAAAUGUAAAAAGCUGUAUCUUAGACUAGGCGGCUUGACCUGUUGUCAUAAGCUUAAAACUUUCAAUGGGAACGCUAGUCGGAAUGGGCUUACCAUAAAAUAAUGUUCAUAAACAUUGACCUCAAAUCAAGUAGGACUACCCGCUGA
rnacentral:misc_RNA from 1 species